UAGAUACCCCGGUAGUCCAUACCGUAAACGAUGGGUGCUAGUUGUUAAGAGGUUUCCGCCUCCUAGUGACGUAGCAAACGCAUUAAGCACCCCGCCUGAGGAGUACGGCCGCAAGGCUAAAACUUAAAGGAAUUGACGGGGACCCGCACAAGCGGUGGAGCAUGUGGUUUAAUUCGAAGAUACGCGAAAAACCUUACCAGGUCUUGACAUACCAAUGAUCGCUUUUGUAAUGAAAGCUUUUCUUCGGAACAUUGGAUACAGGUGGUGCAUGGUCGUCGUCAGCUCGUGUCGUGAGAUGUUGGGUUAAGUCCCGCAACGAGCGCAACCCUUGUUAUUAGUUGCCAGCAUUUAGUUGGGCACUCUAAUGAGACUGCCGGUGAUAAACCGGAGGAAGGUGGGGACGACGUCAGAUCAUCAUGCCCCUUAUGACCUGGGCAACACACGUGCUACAAUGGGAAGUACAACGAGUCGCAAACCGGCGACGGUAAGCUAAUCUCUUAAAACUUCUCUCAGUUCGGACUGGAGUCUGCAACUCGACUCCACGAAGGCGGAAUCGCUAGUAAUCGCGAAUCAGCAUGUCGCGGUGAAUACGUUCCCGGGUCUUGUACACACCGCCCGUCAAAUCAUGGGAGUCGGAAGUACCCAAAGUCGCUUGGCUAACUUUUAGAGGCCGGUGCCUAAGGUAAAAUCGAUGACUGGGAUUAAGUCGUAACAAGGUAGCCGUAGGAGAACCUGCGGCUGGAUCACCUCCUUUCUAAGGA
rnacentral:rRNA from 1 species